CAGGGAGACAACAAAAUGUUUAAUAUUAUUAUUUUGUCACCUUAGGUCGAUCGGUAUCUCACAUUCUUAAAUUUAUUAAGGAUUUUAUUUCCUAAGUUUUUUCUAGGUCACACCCAUUACUUUUCCUGGGCCAUUAGCUCAGGUGGUUAGAGCGCACCCCUGAUAAGGGUGAGGUCCCUGGUUCAAGUCCAGGAUGGCCCAUAUCUCUAUGUUGGGGGUAUAGCUCAGUUGGUAGAGCGCCUGCUUUGCAAGCAGGAUGUCAGCGGUUCGAGUCCGCUUACCUCCACUGAUUACCACCUCUUCCAUAAUUAUUAUUAAGGAAAUGUUUUGAGUAGUGAUCAAAUUCUGAACGAAUCUAGCUUCCUAAUGAAUUCAUUAAGAUGCUGGACUCAUUGAAUUAUUUUCAUUGUUUUCAGAGAACCUUGACAACUGCAUAGAUUAUUUUUAAAGACAAUAAGCAUCUUUAUGAUGCAGAUUUAUUAUUUGUGCGAAUGCAUUAAUAACAAUUCUAUUAAGCUGAUGCUUCAAUUAUGAAGUUAUU
rnacentral:tRNA from 1 species